AUUGAACGCUGGCGGCAUGCCUUACACAUGCAAGUCGAACGGCAGCACGGGUGCUUGCCCCUGGUGGCGAGUGGCGAACGGGUGAAUAAUACAUCGGAACAUGUCCUGUAGUGGGGGAUAGCCCGGCGAAAGCCGGAUUAAUACCGCAUACGAUCUACGGAUGAAAGCGGGGGACCUUCGGGCCUCGCGCUGUAGGGUUGGCCGAUGGCUGAUUAGCUAGUUGGUGGGGUAAAGGCCUACCAAGGCGACGAUCAGUAGCUGGUCUGAGAGGACGACCAGCCACACUGGGACUGAGACACGGCCCAGACUCCUACGGGAGGCAGCAGUGGGGAAUUUUGGACAAUGGGCGAAAGCCUGAUCCAGCAAUACCGCGUGUGUGAAGAAGGCCUUCGGGUUGUAAAGCACUUUUGUCCGGAAAGAAAUCCUUGGCCCUAAUACGGUCGGGGGAUGACGGUACCGGAAGAAUAAGCACCGGCUAACUACGUG
rnacentral:rRNA from 1 species